AUGGAUUACCCUGAGCCCGGCUCGCCGCAGGGCGCCUGGGAGCUGCCCGGGGAAGGCGGCGGCGGCGGCGGCGGCGGUUACGGCGGCCGCUACGAGCGGGCGGCCGGCGGCGAGGAGGAGGAGGAGGAGGAAGCGGCGGAGCAUCCCCUGGCCCGCCCGCCCCGCCGCCCCCGGCAGCGCUCCGUGCAGCCGCUCCGCGCCGCGCUCUCCACCUCCUCCUCUGAGGAGGGGGAACCGGAGGCGGCCACCCCGAGCGACUCGACCGGCGGCGGCGAGUUCGAUUCGGCCGAGUCCGGCGCUUCGCUGCGUUACUCCUCCGGCACCGGGGAAAGCGGCGAGGGCGCGGGGCUGGCGAGCGGAGAGAGCGGCGGCGGCUCCGCGCUGCCCGAGAGGAAACGGCAGCGCUCGGCGGCGGGCGGCGGGCGGCCCCGCUAUGAGGUGGUGCGGGAGCUGGGGGCCGAGGAGGUGCGCUGGUUCUACCGGGAGGACCGGAAGAGCUGGAAGCCCUUCAUCGGUUACGACUCGCUGCGGAUCGAACUGGCCUUCCGAGCUCUCGGCCCCAGCCCCGAGCGGACGGCGGUGGAGCCGGUGUGCGUGCGGAGCGGGCUCUACGAGGUGGACGUGGCCAACGCCGAGUGCUACCCCGUCUACUGGAACCAAACGGAGAAGAUUCCUGUAAUGCGAGGGCAGUGGUUUAUUGAUGGUACUUGGCAACCUCUGGAGGAGGAGGAAAGUAACCUGAUAGAGCAGGAGCACCUCAACCGCUUCCGGGGCCAGCAGAUGCAAGAGAGCUUUGAUAUGGAAGUAUCAAAACCUGUUGAUGGGAAGGAAGUUCUCUACUACCUCCCUCCCUUCUCCCUCCCUUCUUUGUUCAAAUGGAGAGGAUAUAAGGAGAAUUCAGAUGCUGCAUGUCUUAAACGAAAGCGUUCCCAAGCUAUUCAUAGUCUAAAGUUGAGUCGCAACCAUGUGGACUGGCACAGUGUGGAUGAAGUGUAUCUGUACAGUGAUGCAACAACAUCUAAAAUUGCAAGAACUGUUACACAAAAGUUGGGGUUUUCCAAAGCUUCAAGUAGUGGGACAAGGCUACAUAGAGGCUAUGUAGAAGAAGCUACCUUAGAAGACAAGCCACCACAAACUAGUCACAUUGUGUUUGUUGUGCAUGGUAUUGGGCAGAAAAUGGACCAAGGAAGGAUCAUCAAAAAUACAGCUAUGAUGCGAGAUACUGCAAGAAAAAUAGAAGAAAAGUAUUUUUCCAACCUUGCAACACAUGUUGAAUUUCUUCCAGUUGAAUGGAGGUCAAAACUCACCCUCGAUGGAGACACUGUGGACUCCAUUACUCCAGACAAAGUGCGGGGUCUGAGGGACAUGCUGAACAGCAGUGCCAUGGAUAUCAUGUACUACACAAGUCCUCUUUAUAGAGAUGAACUUGUCAAGGGGCUGCAGCAGGAGCUGAACCGCCUGUACACACUGUUCUGCUCUCGGAACCCAGAGUUUGAGGAGAAAGGAGGGAAAGUCUCCAUUGUGUCCCACUCUCUGGGCUGUGUCAUCACCUACGACAUCAUGACUGGCUGGAACCCGGUCAGCCUGUAUGAACAGUUGCUGCGGAAAGAGGAGGAGGAGCUUGAAGACACUUGGAUGAGUUAUGAGGAGCGGCGUUUGCUUGAAGAACUUUACAUAACCAAACAACGGUUGAAAGAGAUAGAAGAGAGGUUACAAGGCUUAAAGGCAUCCACCAUAGCGAAAACACCUGUCUUAAAAUUUAAGGUUGAGAAUUUCUUCUGUAUGGGAUCUCCACUAGCAGUGUUUUUGGCAUUGCGUGGCAUCCGUCCAGGAAACAGUGGGAGUCAAGAUCAUAUUCUGCCCAGAACAAUUUGUAACCGCUUACUGAAUAUCUUUCAUCCAACAGAUCCAGUGGCCUAUAGAUUAGAACCUUUAAUCCUGAAGCACUACAGCAACAUUUCACCAGUCCAGAUCCACUGGUACAACACCGCAAACCCUCUACCUUACGAGCAUAUGAAGCCAAGUUUUCUCAACCCAACAAAAGAACCUACCUCAGUUACGGAUGGUGAAAGUGCUUCAACUGUACCAAGCCCAACUACUUCACCAGUCAUGGUUCGGCGCCACUACGGGGAGUCCAUAACCAACAUAGGCAAAGCCAGUAUACUGGGAGCUGCGAGCAUUGGGAAGGGCCUCGGAGGGAUGCUGUUUUCGAGAUUCGGUCGCUCAAGUACGCAGACUGCAGAGCCAGGAAAAGAUGGAGCGGAAGGGGACGACAAGAAGAGCGCUGUGGGAACGCCACCUUUCUCACAGAGCAGCUCGGGCUUCCUCGAACCCACGUUGGAACUGGAGCACAGGAUUGAUUUCGAGCUCAGGGAAGGUCUGGUGGAGAGCAGAUACUGGUCUGCAGUCACGUCGCACACUGCCUAUUGGUCAUCUCUGGAUAUUGCUCUUUUCCUCCUCACCUUCAUGUACAAACACGACCAGGACGAUACUGACAAAUCCAGUUUGGACGCUAUCUGAAUUUUUGACUGGGGGUUGGGAGGGAUGGGAAAGGAAAUCUGAAAACCAAUGGCACAAAACAGAUGUUAAACCGCAGUAUGUAUGGCAUGGAGGUUUCAGGUUUAAGUGCAUGUUUGGGUUUUUUCCUGUUUCUAAGGAGCAAAAACGAUUUGUAUGGAAAAGCACUUUAUAGUUUCAAACGUUUUGCAGUGCUUAAUCAGACCUGAGGUUGUUCCAAAUUCCUGUUGACUUUGCAUAAAAAGACAACGCAACGUGCAGCACCACUUAGGCACCAUCGUGCAUUGUGCUCGGGUGACAUUCUUGUUGAUGACCAUAAUUGCUGUUCAGUUCAUUAAAGUAUAAAAAGAGGAGUUGAUUUAAAAAAAAAAAGCGAAAUUAAUUUCCAUUAACGAAGUAUGUGUUACUUACAAACCUAAAACUGCCAUGUUCCAAUGUCGUGUGUGUCAGUCAGUAACGAACGGUGGUGUCGUUUCUCUAGGAUCUGUUCAGCUCCACAUCCUGUUACCCACAGUACCAUUCUGAGGGCUGGCUGCUGGGCCGUGUUCUGCGUGGCACGUGGAGAAACCAACGCUGAAAAGCACCACGAGGAUCUGAAAUACUACGUGCAAGGAGCCGUCAAGAGGAAGGAGAGCAGCAGUAUAUAAACUUGGUGAGACCUGAGGAUACCAGAACUUAGAUUGGAUUCGCAUCUGAAACUAAUUCAGGAGCCUCCAAGAGGGAUGUGUUGUGAUGAAAGGAAAUGUCUCCCAAUGAAACACUACAAGGUCACUGCUGGGAUCUGAAGCCAUGCACAGCUCUAGAGCAAAGUGCCAGAUCCACAGCCUCUGCACUGCCUCUGGCUGGGGUAUCUGUGGUCUGUAUGGCAUGUUUAGAAGCUGCAGAAUCUCAGCUUUCCUUUGCAAAGGAUGAGGCCGUGGUGUCAGCAGAUAGCCGCGUUCUCAAUGUAAACAGAUGUGGAACCAGCAGCCCCAACCAGCAUCCUUCAAUCCUGGAGUUUGGGAGGGGGAGGGCAGCAGCGCUGCUGCU